CCUACGGGAGGCUGCAGUGGGGGAUAUUGCACAAUGGGGGGAACCCUGAUGCAGCGACGCCGCGUGGGUGAAGGAGCGUUUCGGCGCGUAAAGCCCUAUCGGCAGGGAAGAAGGAGGACGGUACCUGACCAAGAAGCCCCGGCUAACUACGUGCCAGCAGCCGCGGUAAUACGUAGGGGGCAAGCGUUAUCCGGAUUUACUGGGUGUAAAGGGGGCGCAGACGGCAGCGCAAGCCAGGAGUGAAAGCCCGGGGCCCAACCCCGGGACUGCUCUUGGAACUGCGCGGCUGGAGUGCAGGAGGGGCAGGCGGAAUUCGUGGUGUAGCGGUGAAAUGCGUAGAUAUCAGGAGGAACACCGGUGGCGAAGGCGGCCUGCUGGACUGCGACUGACGUUGAGGCCCGAAAGCGUGGGGAGCAAACAGGAUUAGAUACCCCAGUAGUC
rnacentral:rRNA from 1 species